CGGCAUUCAACCCUAAACACCGCUCUCUCUCUUCUCUCUCUCUCUCUCUUCCAGAUCUACAUGAACAAGCAUUUCUCUGCCUUCAGAUCAACAUGAACAUACAUGUAGUCCUCGGUCGACAUUUCUAACUCAACUUUCAGUUGCUAUAUAGUAAGAGACGAGUUAUCGCAAGAGGGUUAGACCUACAACAAGUCUAGGGAAUGGCACACCAACGGUCCACUUUCAAAUGUCGGGGUGUGGCUGAAUGGUUGCAGACCAUGCAUCUGGUUGGCUACCCAGAUAUCUUCACAACCAGGAUUUUCUUGACAAGAGUUUGAGAUAUUCCCCGUUACAGUUUUAGCUUAAACAUCUUAG